rnacentral:tRNA from 1 species
AUUUAUAUAGUUUAAAAAUAAAACUUUAUACUUUCAUUAUAAAAUUAAUAUAAAUUUUAUAUUUAUAAAUA